GUAGGUGGCAAGCGUUGUCCGGAAUUAUUGGGCGUAAAGCGCGCGCAGGCGGUUCUUUAAGUCUGAUGUGAAAGCCCACGGCUCAACCGUGGAGGGUCAUUGGAAACUGGAGGACUUGAGUACAGAAGAGGAAAGCGGAAUUCCACGCGUAGCGGUGAAAUGCGUAGAGAUGUGGAGGAACACCAGUGGCGAAGGCGGCUUUCUGGUCUGUAACUGACGCUGAGGCGCGAAAGCGUGGGGAGCAAGCAGGGAUUAGAUACCCUGGUAGUCCACGCCGUAAACGAUGAGUGCUAAGUGUUAGGGGGUUUCCGCCCCCUUAGUGCUGCAGCUAACGCAUUAAGCACUCCGCCUGGGGAGUACGGCCGCAAGGCUG
rnacentral:rRNA from 1 species